GGGAGGCGGGCGACUGCCACCCAGGGCCGGAAAGUUACCCAAACUCGGUCAUUUAGAGGAAGUAAAAGUCGUAACAAGGUCUCCGUUGGUGAACCAGCGGAGGGAUCAUU
rnacentral:rRNA from 1 species